rnacentral:lncRNA from 1 species
GAGAAUACAGUCUAAGGCGCGUUUUCCUAUCUCGAGACAAAGUAUUUACGAAGGAUCGCAAGCGGCAAUGCACGAGAAAACGAUGACUUUGUCAGUAACAUCGUAAAUUAUGUAUGGCAGAAAAUAUCGACAAAAUCUUUUGCUAUAUGGGUAUACUUUAAGUAUAUGUGAAAGAGGUUUGAGAGAAAAAGAAAAUGAAUAGAAUGAUGAGAGAGAGAGAGAGAGAGAGAGAAAGAAAAGUUACUCGCUGUGCUUGUGUCCGUCGAAGCAGAUCCUUCUAGGAUGCUAAAGGAGAGGAGAGGAGAGGAGAGGAGAGUGAAGAGGAUGGUGGGUGGGUGAGUGGGUGGUAAAAGUACCCUUUAAAAUUCAGGAGAACAUCGUCCAGAGAGGAUUUCACGGGCUGGAAGUGUCGAGCUACAAAGUGGCCCCUUGAAGUACGUAAUUUAAAAACACGUGGCCGAUGGAGGAGGAGGAGUUUUUCUCAGAAAGGACCAUCGACUUCUUGGCAGUGAAAGAGAAAAGCAGAAGAAGAGAAAAAAAGGAAAGGUAUAUAAAAGAAAA